UGUGUAGGCGGUUCUUUAAGUUUGGUGUGAAAUCUCCCGGCUCAACCGGGAGGGUGCGCCGAAUACUGAGGGACUCGAGUGCGGAAGAGGAAAGUGGAAUUCCUGGUGUAGCGGUGAAAUGCGUAGAUAUCAGGAGGAACACCGGUGGUGUAGACGGCUUUCUGGACCGUAACUGACGCUGAGACACGAAAGCGUGGGUAGCAAACAGGAUUAGAUACCCUGGUAGUCCACGCCCUAAACGAUGCAUAUUUGGUGUGGGUCAUUCAGUUGAUCCGUGCCGGAGCUAACGCGUUAAAUAUGCCGCCUGGGGAGUACAGUCGCAAGGCUGAA
rnacentral:rRNA from 1 species